CGAACGCUGGCGGCGUGCUUAACACAUGCAAGUCGAACGGAAAGGCCCUGCUUUUGUGGGGUGCUCGAGUGGCGAACGGGUGAGUAACACGUGAGUAACCUGCCCUUGACUUUGGGAUAACUUCAGGAAACUGGGGCUAAUACCGGAUAGGAGCUCCUGCUGCAUGGUGGGGGUUGGAAAGUUUCGGCGGUUGGGGAUGGACUCGCGGCUUAUCAGCUUGUUGGUGGGGUAGUGGCUUACCAAGGCUUUGACGGGUAGCCGGCCUGAGAGGGUGACCGGCCACAUUGGGACUGAGAUACGGCCCAGACUCCUACGGGAGGCAGCAGUGGGGAAUAUUGCACAAUGGGCGGAAGCCUGAUGCAGCAACGCCGCGUGCGGGAUGACGGCCUUCGGGUUGUAAACCGCUUUCGCCUGUGACGAAGCGUGAGUGACGGUAAUGGGUAAAGAAGCACCGGCUAACUACGUA
rnacentral:rRNA from 1 species